CAAGCAUGUUCAUUUGCCACACCUGGAGUGGCAAUGGGGGUUGAUGGCCAAUCUCUUUUGAAGUCUGUGUGAAGCUGACUUCAAGGUAAAAUGCGCUUGAGCUGCAAAAGAACUUAACAAGGUGGCCUGGUUAUCACGGGAGUGGAUUCGAUUAGUGCAACGUGGAGCAGACUCUCUCUCCUCGCCUUCUUUUUCAUUAACUAACAGAGCUUUGUUCCUGAUGUUGCUAUUUUUGUGGCUGACGCAGCAUGCGGAGGAGGGAGCCAUUCCCACUACAAAGGGAGGUGAACUUCAUAGAGCUCCUAAUGAUGAAGCAGCCAACAUUGGACUACUUGCCUCUCACAUUAUGGUGAUGAUCUUUAUUAGCAUAGAAAUGAAGAUCCAGCUAACUCACUAUUCUGAAAACUAUGUUAACAGGUCAUCUCAAGACAUUUUGGUCCCGGGGAGAAUAUCCCCUCACUUUUCCUUUCCUCUGCAUUGCACAGAUCUGUAUCUCCAAAAUAAACACUGACAGACAUGAUUUUUUAAAAAAUGUAUAACUAUGGGUGAAGUGAGGAGCCUAACCUGCAAUAAUGAUUGGGAAUAUAAGGUGUGAAGGUGUGAUAUGCUGUAUUCUUGGAUAUAGAUCACUGCAUAAUUAGCAGUAGUUUUCUUUUUCUUUCUUUCUUUCUUUCUUUCUUUCUUUCUUUCUUUCUUUCUUAAAUGUAUCCCUCCCCCUCCAAAUACAUGGACAAUAUACAGAGAAAUAGUAAAAGCUCAAUAAACGCUAUAAAAGCAGCAUCCAAUAAA